AAAGGUACAGCUCGGUGGUAGAGUGCGUGCUUGGCAUGCACGAGGUCCUGGGUUCAAUACCCAGUGCCUCCA
rnacentral:tRNA from 1 species